rnacentral:rRNA from 1 species
AUGCACGCUGGCGGCGUGCCUAAUACAUGCCAGUCGAGCGAACGGACGAGAAGCUUGCUUCUCUGAUGUUAGCGGCGGACGGGUGAGUAACACGUGGAUAACCUACCUAUAAGACUGGGAUAACUUCGGGAAACCGUAGCUAAUACCGGAUAAUAUUUUGAACCGCAUGGUUCAAAAGUGAAAGACGGUCUUGCUGUCACUUAUAGAUGGAUCCGCGCUGCAUUAGCUAGUUGGUAAGGUAACGGCUUACCAAGGCAACGAUGCAUAGCCGACCUGAGAGGGUGAUCGGCCACACUGGAACUGGGACACGGUCCAGACUCCUACGGGAGGCAGCAGUAGGGAAUCUUCCGCAAUGGGCGAAAGCCUGACGGAGCAACGCCGCGUGAGUGAUGAAGGUCUUCGGAUCGUAAAACUCUGUUAUUAGGGAAGAACAUAUGUGUAAGUAACUGUGCACAUCUUGACGGUACCUAAUCAGAAAGCCACGGCUAACUACGUG